rnacentral:rRNA from 1 species
GACGAACGCUGGCGGCGUGCUUAACACAUGCAAGUCGAACGGAAAGGCCCAGCUUGCUGGGUACUCGAGUGGCGAACGGGUGAGUAACACGUGGGUGAUCUGCCCUGGACUCUGGGAUAAGCCUGGGAAACUGGGUCUAAUACCGGAUAUGACCUUACAUCGCAUGGUGUUUGGUGGAAAGCUUUUGCGGUUCAGGAUGGGCCCGCGGCCUAUCAGCUUGUUGGUGGGGUAAUGGCCUACCAAGGCGACGACGGGUAGCCGACCUGAGAGGGUGAGCGGCCACACUGGGACUGAGACACGGCCCAGACUCCUACGGGAGGCAGCAGUGGGGAAUAUUGCACAAUGGGCGCAAGCCUGAUGCAGCGACGCCGCGUGAGGGAUGACGGCCUUCGGGUUGUAAACCUCUUUCACCAGGGACGAAGCGUGAGUGACGGUACCUGGAGAAGAAGCACCGGCCAACUACGUG